AUUGAACGCUGGCGGAAUGCUUUACACAUGCAAGUCGAACGGCAGCACGGACUUCGGUCUGGUGGCGAGUGGCGAACGGGUGAGUAAUACAUCGGAACGUGCCCAAUCGUGGGGGAUAACGUAGCGAAAGCUACGCUAAUACCGCAUACGAUCUAAGGAUGAAAGCGGGGGAUCGCAAGACCUCGCGCGAAUGGAGCGGCCGAUGGAAGAUUAGGUAGUUGGUAGGGUAGAGGCCUACCAAGCCGACGAUCUGUAGAUGGUCUGAGGGGAUGAUCAGCCACACUGGGACUGAGACACGGCCCAGACUCCUACGGGAGGCAGCAGUGGGGAAUUUUGGACAAUGGACGCAAGUCUGAUCCAGCCAUUCCGCGUGCAGGAUGAAGGCCCUCGGGUUGUAAACUGCUUUUGUACAGAACGAAAAGGCUCUGGUUAAUACCUGGGGCUCAUGACGGUACUGUAAGAAUAAGCACCGGCUAACUACGUGCCAGCAGCCGCCGCAG
rnacentral:rRNA from 1 species